rnacentral:lncRNA from 1 species
GUAUUGGGUCAUUCUAUAUCUUAAGUAAAGCUGAUUUAAUGGGAGAGAGAGCUGGAUUGGUUUUCUGCUUGAUGCUGUGCUGGUGGCCUGGCUGUUGGGGGCUGCCUAGGUCACAGGGUCCCCCAGGGAAAAUCUGUUGACUUCCGCAGCUAUGCUUGAGUCUGCUUGUUACUGGACAGCUGGUCUGUCCCCUUAGAGGCUUGGCUGAACUCUGUGCUCUCCUUCCCUCUACUUUGUUCUCGAGUUUUCUGCACAUUCUUCCACCCACAGAUGUGAAUGUCGUGUGAUGUUGGCUUUCCAGUGUCUUGCAUGGCGUGGUAGCAGCAGAAAUGAGCUUGGCUGGGCACCCUCUCUGGGCCUUGGAGGCAAGCCUGGGCUCCUCUGAAAAUACAGGCAGCUUCCUUUCCCUGACUUGCCUGGAGGAGCCAGGCCCUGUGGUGCGGUCUGGCUCUGAGGCCUGUGGUCCUGCUUGGGACUGGCAGUCUUAGGCUGAGGGAACAUUUUCCAGAGUAUAGCCGAGGGACAGAAUGUCUCAGUAAGACGGGCUCGGAGGGGAAGUGUUUUGGAAAGGCCUCUGCUUGCUCUGGGAGGCGUUCAGGAUGCUGAGGUUUUGGAAAUCUAUGGCGGCUCUUCACAACUGCUCCCAGCUUUGGGAGGAGGAAUAGACGGGUGCUCGUUUCCUCGGGUUCAGUGGCAAAGGUGAAGACCAGCACUGCCGACCUGGGACCUGGGCCUCUCCCGGGCCUGGGGAGGACACUGGACUUUGAAGGGGAAUGCAGCCUAGAAGGCCUGGACCCUGGAGUCAGGAGAUGCUGCUCCCAUCCAGUAAGCCCUGGCUGGAGCUCUUCUGGGCACCAACCCUGGCAUAAAACCAGUGGGGCCUCUGGGCCUGCACUCAACAGUGCCUCUGAUGGAGCAGGUUCAGCUUGGUUGUGACCUCUGCUAGAAGCCCUCCCUGGCCUCCCUGUGCACUGAGCUGGUGGUUCCUCCUUUGCGCCCCAGGGAAUGGAAUAAGAAUGGGAUAAGUAUAACACAAUGAGACGAAUGCAGAACCAACUAGAUGUACACCCAACAAUGUGGAUGAACCUUAAAACAGUGCUGCCUGAAGAAGGCAAGAAACAGAAUGAAAUCUGCAGCACAUCAUUCAUAUAAACUAAAAAUACAUGCACAGAGAAAGGCCACUUUU